CACGGGGGGAGCAAGCGUUGUUCGGAAUCACUGGGCGUAAAGGGCGUGUAGGCGGUCAGGUAAGUGAGAUGUGAAAUGCCCCGGCUCACCCGGGGACCGGCAUCUCAUACUGCUUGGCUUGAGUACGGGAGAGGAUGUGAGAAUUCCUGGUGUAGCGGUGAAAUGCGUAGAUAUCAGGAGGAACACCGGUGGCGAAGGCGCACAUCUGGCCCGAUACUGACGCUGAGGCGCGAAAGCUAGGGGAGCAAACGGG
rnacentral:rRNA from 1 species